UACGAAGGGGGCUAGCGUUGCUCGGAAUCACUGGGCGUAAAGCGCACGUAGGCGGAUUGUUAAGUCAGGGGUGAAAUCCUGGAGCUCAACUCCAGAACUGCCUUUGAUACUGGCGAUCUCGAGUCCGGGAGAGGUGAGUGGAACUGCGAGUGUAGAGGUGAAAUUCGUAGAUAUUCGCAAGAACACCAGUGGCGAAGGCGGCUCACUGGCCCGGUACUGACGCUGAGGUGCGAAAGCGUGGGGAGCAAACAGGGAU
rnacentral:rRNA from 1 species